ACUGCAGACUGCAGACUCUGAGGUUUAUGAACUGCAGAUUGUCAAAGGUCAGCUGUGCUUCUCUGGUCUCGGCUCUGAACUCUAACCCGUCCUACCUGACAGAAAUUGACCUGAGAUACAACAGCCUUCAGUCUUCAGAUGUUCAGCAGCUCCAGGAUCUGGUGGAGAGUCCAAACUCCAAACUGCAGACUCUAUGGUGGAGGUAAAGAUGAGUCAGAUGUUCCUCCUGGAGGAGCAGAG